UAACGACAUCAUCAGACGGCUUCGAUGGCUUGGUGGUCAUGGCGAACAGGAAACACCCGAUCCCAUCCCGAACUCGGCCGUGAAACUGUUCAGCGCCAAUGGUACUGCGUCUUA
rnacentral:rRNA from 1 species